UUUUUUUUUUCUUCUAAAUAGCCAUUAAUAUGUUCUGAGAGAUGCUGAGCUAAGCUCAUUCCAUUACUUUACAGAUGGAAAACUGCAGCCCAGAGGAAGGAAUCAGCAUACUCAGGGUAGAGAAACAGAGCGGUGAUGAGAAGCCAGCCUUCCACCAUUUCCGGGAGGCUGGAAAAAAUGGGGUUCUGCCAGGUGGACCAAAUCCCUUCAUGCUGGUACCCUCUGCCUUCAGACAGUAAGACUUGGGCUUUUCUACUAGCUGGUAAAUUAUUCCUCGUCCCUCUGUCUACUUCCAACCUUCAUAUAUUGUGGUCUGGAGCUACAGACAACUCCUCGCUUCAUCAGACUAAGAGUUCUAUUCUACGUUUUUGGUUUUUGGAGGAGGGGAAAGGAUACAAUAUGUCCUGACUUAGCCAUCCUGAAACUACAAAUCUGACUCUCAGAUGGAUGGCUCAUAACUGAUCUCUCCCCUCAACUCUAACAGUAUGUUUGAAACUUGUGUUUGGUUGUGUUUUUUUUUUUAAAGAAAACCUCACAUUUGUCAUCACCAAGACACGACUUUUU
rnacentral:lncRNA from 1 species